rnacentral:rRNA from 1 species
AAUCAACGCUGGCGGCGUGUCUCAGACAUGCAAGUCGAACGAUUAAAGCUCUCUUCGGAGAGUGUAUAGAGUGGCGCACGGGUGAGUAACACGUAAGUAAUCUACCCUCGAGUGGGGAAUAACAACCGGAAACGGUUGCUAAUACCGCAUAAUGCAGCGGCACCGCAAGGUGACAGUUGUUAAAGAUUUAUCGCUUGAGGAGGAGCUUGCGGCAGAUUAGCUAGUUGGUAGGGUAACGGCUUACCAAGGCUACGAUCUGUAACCGGUCUAAGAGGACGGUCGGUCACACUGACACUGAAUAACGGGUCAGACUCCUACGGGAGGCAGCAGUCGGGAAUUUUGGGCAAUGGGCGAAAGCCUGACCCAGCAACGCCACGUGAAGGAUGAAGUAUUUCGGUAUGUAAACUUCGAAAGAAUAGGAAGAAUUAAUGACGGUACUAUUUAUAAGGUCCGGCUAACUACGUG